rnacentral:rRNA from 1 species
CCUACGGGUGGCAGCAGUGAGGAAUAUUGGUCAAUGGACGAGAGUCUGAACCAGCCAAGUAGCGUGAAGGAUGACUGCCCUAUGGGUUGUAAACUUCUUUUAUAUGGGAAUAAAAUGUUCCACGUGUGGGAUUUUGUAUGUACCAUAUGAAUAAGGAUCGGCUAACUCCGUGCCAGCAGCCGCGGUAAUACGGAGGAUCCGAGCGUUAUCCGGAGUUAGUGGGUUUAAAGGGAGCGUAGGUGGAUUGUUAAGUCAGUUGUGAAAGUUUGCGGCGCAACAGUAAAAUUGCAGUGGAAACUGGCAGUCUUGAGUACAGUAGAGGUGGGCGGAAUUCGUGGUGUAGCGGUGAAAUGCUUAGAUAUCACGAAGAACUCCGAUUGCGAAGGCAGUUCACUGGACUGCAACUGACACGGAGGCUCGAAAGUGUGGGUAGCAAACAGGAUUAGAUACCCUUGUAGUC